GUUUUUGGGAACGGCCGAAACGGCCUCCCUGCUCCAUGCUCCCCGAAACCGACGGCGAACCCGAACUCUCGGCUUGAGAGAAACCGGAGCUGACAGAGUCGCGCCGCUGGAAAGACCCGGUACUGCUGUUGUGACUGUCAACAGGACUUGCGGACAGGAAAGCCUCCGCACAGAAAGGUCGGGGGCAAGUGUUCCCUGCAGCCGAGGGGAAAAAAAUUGGUGUGAUGGACGGGCCAGACGCAGGGUAGCCGGGAGUCCCGUGGCUGAGUGUGGGUGGUGAGUCCGGUGUCUGUACAACAGCCCACCCCUGAGGGACGGCACGCCUCGCGCGGUCAUCCCUCGGACUUAAAGGAGGCGGCCUGGGCGGAUUUCCUUGCAUGGUGAAAGGGAAACAGAGAACGGUCUUUGCCUCUGCUGAAACCGGCGGUCUCGCUGGAUGCGCAAAAAACGCGGAUAGAUCUUCAGGGUGGGACGGAAAAGGGUCCGGAAGGACACAGGCCAGAGCCGAAGCGGAAAUUCGUUAUCCAACUGCGAGGGAGCUCUCGAAAAAACCUCAGAGUUGAUGAGGCGGAGAGAGACAAGAGGGAAUCGGAUAUCGCAGUGGGGGCUCGGAAUGAGACGGCGUGCAAAGCGCGGUACCCCCGCUUUUCAAUGCCAAAGCAGGCAUGAACCUCAGAAGAACUCAAAACAGAGAAGGCACGUACGCUGAACGGCUGAUCCCUUCUCCCACCCAAACAAGCGGAGAGGACGUUCCCCUGGUGUCACGCAAGAGACAAGACUGUCAAAAGUGACAGCAACCCCCGGAAACCAGUUCAUUCUCGCCCGUAGGCAAAAGACCGCGGCACACGAUAGCCAAGUGCUCCGCAGAAGUGUUCUUCCGCCGGGAACCGGCCGCAGGACGAGCAAUUCACGAGCGUCCGAUAUGAUGAAAUAUUAGCAUAAAAAAAACAUCACACCAGCAGACACUGCAGCCCGUGCGGACGAAAGCAGAUGCACGCGUUCGCCAGUGGACGGCCAUACACAAGUCGUCGUCCACGGAAAUUCCUCCCCUACGGAACGUCACAGGAUAGGUAAAAAGUUGAGUGAUUCAGGAAAACAACAUCUUGUACCGGAACGAGCAACUCUUUUCGCACGGUCAUUUGUAACGUGUCCUGUCUCGACUGCUGUGAAAAGAGCCUGCGACGAAACACGCAUGCGUCACCGCUAUGCGCAACCCUACAAUCGUCUUGUGUCGGUGGCUGAUUUCUCGUCUGUACUGGCAGUUCACCAUGCACCCGCUUGAGCUCCAUUGUGUGUCGCGUCAGUUAGCAAGCAACUGCACUGGAAGUGUUGCAUUUGCAACAUAUCCUCUUGACGCGGUGAAAGAUAGGCAUUUGGGGGGACGACAUUGUGAAGAAGUGUUGAUUCCGACAAGUCCAGGGCUUCUGGUACCAUACGGUAAUUCUUUCUUUCUUGUGGGGCCGCGGAGACACGCUCUCACAUUGGCCAGCAUGGCACAGCUUCUCGGCAACAACGUACACCAGUCUCGACAGCUGUUGAC
rnacentral:lncRNA from 1 species